rnacentral:rRNA from 1 species
GUCCACGCCCUAAACGAUGGCAACUAGGUGUUGGGGAAGCGAUUUCCUGGUACCGCAGCUAACGCGUGAAGUUGCCCGCCUGGGGAGUACGGUCGCAAGAUUAAAACUCAAAGGAAUUGACGGGGACCCGCACAAGCGGUGGAUGAUGUGGAUUAAUUCGAUGCAACGCGAAUAACCUUACCUACCCUUGACAUGUACGGAACCCUGCAGAGAUGUGGGGGUGCUUGAAAGAGAGCCGUAACACAGGUGCUGCAUGUCUGUCGU